UACGGAGGGGGCAAGCGUUGUUCGGAAUUACUGGGCGUAAAGCGCACGUAGGCGGGUUGUUAAGUCAGGGGUGAAAUCCUGGAGCUCAACUCCAGAACUGCCUUUGAUACUGGCAACCUAGAGGCUGGAAGAGGUUAGUGGAAUUCCCAGUGUAGAGGUGAAAUUCGUAGAUAUUGGGAAGAACACCAGUGGCGAAGGCGGCUAACUGGUCCAGAUCUGACGCUGAGGUGCGAAAGCGUGGGGAGCAAACAGG
rnacentral:rRNA from 1 species